AUUGAACGCUGGCGGCAUGCUUUACACAUGCAAGUCGAACGGCAGCGCGGGCUUCGGCCUGGCGGCGAGUGGCGAACGGGUGAGUAAUACAUCGGAACGUGCCCAGUAGUGGGGGAUAGCUCGGCGAAAGCCGGAUUAAUACCGCAUACGACCUGAGGGUGAAAGCGGGGGAUCUUCGGACCUCGCGCCAUUGGCGCGGCUGAUGGCAGAUUAGCUAGUUGGUGGGGUAAAGGCCUACCAAGGCGACGAUCUGUAGCUGGUCUGAGAGGACGACCAGCCACACUGGGACUGAGAAACGGCCAAGACUCCUACGGGAGGCAGCAGUGGGGAAUUUUGGACAAUGGGCGAAAGCCUGAUCCAGCAAUGCCGCGUGUGUGAUGAAGGCCUUCGGGUUGUAAAGCACUUUUGGCGGGAACGAAAAGGACUGUGCCAAUACCACGGUUCGAUGACGGUACCCGCAGAAUAAGCACCGGCUAACUACGUG
rnacentral:rRNA from 1 species